rnacentral:rRNA from 1 species
AGUGAACGCUGGCGGUAGGCCUAACACAUGCAAGUCGAACGGCAGCACAGGAGAGCUUGCUCUCUGGGUGGCGAGUGGCGGACGGGUGAGGAAUACAUCGGAAUCUACUCUGUCGUGGGGGAUAACGUAGGGAAACUUACGCUAAUACCGCAUACGACCUACGGGUGAAAGCAGGGGACCUUCGGGCCUGCGCGAUUGAAUGAGCCGAUGUCGGAUUAGCUAGUUGGCGGGGUAAAGGCCCACCAAGGCGACGAUCCGUAGCUGGUCUGAGAGGAGGAUCAGCCACACUGGAACUGAGACACGGUCCAGACUCCUACGGGAGGCAGCAGUGGGGAAUAUUGGACAAUGGGCGCAAGCCUGAUCCAGCCAUACCGCGUGGGUGAAGAAGGCCUUCGGGUUGUAAAGCCCUUUUGUUGGGAAAGAAAUCCAGCUGGCUAAUACCCGGUUGGGAUGACGGUACCCAAAGAAUAAGCACCGGCUAACUUCGUGCCAGCCGCCGCCGUAA